CAGCCUGUCAUUGGGGAGUAGCCAGCCUCGUCCCCCGAGGCGUUCGCAUCAACAGACUUGGUCGCCGUUUCCCGGCGCCAUGGUGCGGACAGCAGACAUCGCCACCCGGUGGUGUCUUGCC
rnacentral:sRNA from 2 species